rnacentral:rRNA from 1 species
GACGAACGCUGGCGGCGUGCCUAAUACAUGCAAGUAGAACGCACAGUUUAUACCGUAGCUUGCUACACCAUAGACUGUGAGUUGCGAACGGGUGAGUAACGCGUAGGUAACCUGCCUGGUAGCGGGGGAUAACUAUUGGAAACGAUAGCUAAUACCGCAUAAUAUUAAUUAUUGCAUGAUAAUUAAUUGAAAGGUGCAAUUGCACCACUACCAGAUGGACCUGCGUUGUAUUAGCUAGUAGGUGAGGUAACGGCUCACCUAGGCGACGAUACAUAGCCGACCUGGGAGGGGGAUCGGCCACACUUGGACUGGGACACGGCCCAGACUCCUUCGGGGGGCAGCAGUAGGGAAUCUUCGGCAAUGGACGAAAGUCUGACCGAGCAACGCCGCGUGAGUGAAGAAGGUUUUCGGAUCGUAAAGCUCUGUUUUAAGAGAAGAACGGGUGGGAGAGUGGAAAGUUCACACUGUGACGGUAUCUUACCAGAAAGGGACGGCUAACUACGUG